CUCUGAGUUUCUAAUUUAUCUAAACGUACUUGCCCCAGGAUUAUGCUCUUGAUGCUGUUCAUCAUUUUAUUCACUGAAUGUUACAGGAAGUCAGAGGUGCAGUUAACAAGCAGAAUCAUAGUGACACUUUCAGACUGCUCCAGAACUUCAGAAAUGAUUGCAUCAUUUUACUGACAGAAACAUGUUAGAGUUUCUAUAUCAGGAUUCUGUUAUAGCAGAAAGUCCUUCUGGUUCAGGAAGAAAGGAAGUAAAGAGAGUACAUGAGGGCAAAAGAAAGAAAUCUGGGAGGGAAGAGAUAAAAGAAAUAAGAAAGAAAAGAAAAAACGGAGGAAGGAAAAACAAAAGAAAGAUGGGACCAGAGAAAACACAAAGGGUGCAAAGAAAGUCGGAAGAGAUAAAGGAACAAAAGAAGGAAGACUAAUGAGGGAAAGUAAGGAAAGAAACUGGAGGAGAGAUGAAAAACAAAUGGUUAGAAGAAGAGAGAAACUAUGACAGAAAGAAAAGCUGAACGUAAGAAUGGAAAGGAGGAAAGAAAAAAGAAGAAAUACACAAAGAAAGAAGAGAAGAAGGGACGGCAAAGGGAGAGGAAGGCUCCUAAGGAAGGGAGGAAAGACAGGAGAAGCAAUCAGAAGCUGAACUAGUUAAGAAAGCAGAAAUGGAAAUGUCUGCGCGCUCUGUAUCUGAUCUUUCCAUUUUAUUUUUCUUCUGCUAAAAACGACUCACAACCCUGUCAUUGACUGACCACACAUACGCAUGUAUGUGCACACGUACACACACACACGUGCUUUGUGUUGGAUGGCUUUUUUUGGUGUGUGUGUGUGUGUGUGUCUGAUUCUUCACCAGCAGUCAGCAGUUUAAAGCUGUAAUUACAGAGAGAGAGAAACAGAGUCGGAGCUUUCGUGCUGCGGCUUACAUUCUUGUCUUGGUGUGUGUGUGUGUGUUGCUCUUGGCAUAUUUAGGUCAUGAUAGUGAAUACAUUAAUAGCAACAUCAAUCACUGUUUUGCAUGUGCUUUGAGUGAGUUGCAGCGUGUGUGAGAUUCUCUGAAUUGUUCUAUUUUCAUAAUUUCUUCUGAUUGGAUGGACUUAUAACAGUGUCUGCUCUUGAAGCCAGCACAUCAAAUUGGGACUUUUUAGCAGGUUGCCAGUGGAUGUCUGUAGAAAACUGUGAUUGAGGCAGCUUUAUGCUGAGCAUAUGCUGACCCCAGCCCAGCAGCCAGACACUGAACUUCAACAGAUAACAAUCUGAUGAGCAG
ensembl:lncRNA